rnacentral:rRNA from 1 species
GGAUUAGGCAUGCAAGUCGAGCGCGAAACGUAGCAAUACGUGGAGAGCGGCGAAAGGGAGAGUAAUACGUAGGUACCUACCCUCGGGUCUGGGAUAGCCAUGCUAACGCGUGGGUAAUACCAGAUAAUGUCUCCGGACCAAAGGUUUACCACCGGAGGAGGGGCCUGCGGCCUAUCAGCUUGUUGGCGAGGUAAUGGCUCACCAAGGCUAAGACGGGUAUGGGGUGUGAGAGCAUGCCCCCACUCACUGGGACUGAGAACUGCCCAGACACCUACGGGUGGCUGCAGUCGAGAAUCUUCGGCAAUGGGCGCAAGCCUGACCGAGCGAUGCCGCGUGCGGGAUGAAGGCUUUCGGGUUGUAAACCGCUGUCGUAGGGGAGCAAGACCGCAAGGUUUGAGCGAUCCUAGGAGGAAGGACCGGCUAAGUCUGUGCCAGCAGCCGCGGUAAUA